CGAUGAUGAGGUGCCAUUUAAAUUGACGAGGAACCGCACUAAAAAAGGAACUCCAGAGGGCUUUGUAAGAAAUGAAUUGACAGAUUCAGAUGAAGAGAACAUCAGGGGUGUCAAGCUGCCCAAAUACCCCACUGCACCAAAAAAGCUGUGGUCCAUUCAAGCCUCUGAAGAUGAAGCCAGGUCUGUGGAGC